CUACACGUGAAGUACUUGGAACAGCGACUGGCAGACCCCGCGGUCAGCCCAUCAGUCACCAAGAUUCAGCAGUCAGCCCCUCAGUCACCAGCACGGACAGGUUGCUGCCACUUUGGGGAGUCGCCAGCCUGUGGAAAACACCUUUUCUUCCCAGCUCACAAGGCAAACGGGAGGUAAAGAUAAACUUGGAUGAAAACUUGGAUGAAAACUUGGAUGAAAACUUGGACGAAAGCUGACGAUCUGAUAUGGGCGAAUCACUGGAGCCGGCUGAGCAAAACUUGGAGAUGGUGAUUGUGUGUGAGGGUGUGUUGGGG
ensembl:lncRNA